AUGAACGCUGGCGGCGUGCCUAAUACAUGCAAGUCGAACGAGUUCUGAUUAUUGAAGGGUGCUUGCAUCUUGAUUUAAUUUUGAACGAGUGGCGGACGGGUGAGUAACACGUGGGUAACCUGCCCUUAAGUGGGGGAUAACAUUUGGAAACAGAUGCUAAUACCGCAUAAAUCCAAGAACCGCAUGGUUCUUGGCUGAAAGAUGGCGUAAGCUAUCGCUUUUGGAUGGACCCGCGGCGUAUUAGCUAGUUGGUGAGGUAACGGCUCACCAAGGCAAUGAUACGUAGCCGAACUGAGAGGUUGAUCGGCCACAUUGGGACUGAGACACGGCCCAAACUCCUACGGGAGGCAGCAGUAGGGAAUCUUCCACAAUGGACGCAAGUCUGAUGGAGCAACGCCGCGUGAGUGAAGAAGGCUUUCGGGUCGUAAAACUCUGUUGUUGGAGAAGAAUGGUCGGCAGAGUAACUGUUGUCGGCGUGACGGUAUCCAACCAGAAAGCCACGGCUAACUACGUGCCAGCAGCCGCGGUAAUACGUAGGUGGCAAGCGUUAUCCGGAUUUAUUGGGCGUAAAGCGAGCGCAGGCGGUUUUUUAAGUCUGAUGUGAAAGCCCUCGGCUUAACCGAGGAAGUGCAUCGGAAACUGGGAAACUUGAGUGCAGAAGAGGACAGUGGAACUCCAUGUGUAGCGGUGAAAUGCGUAGAUAUAUGGAAGAACACCAGUGGCGAAGGCGGCUGUCUGGUCUGUAACUGACGCUGAGGCUCGAAAGCAUGGGUAGCGAACAGGAUUAGAUACCCUGGUAGUCCAUGCCGUAAACGAUGAAUGCUAGGUGUUGGAGGGUUUCCGCCCUUCAGUGCCGCAGCUAACGCAUUAAGCAUUCCGCCUGGGGAGUACGACCGCAAGGUUGAAACUCAAAGGAAUUGACGGGGGCCCGCACAAGCGGUGGAGCAUGUGGUUUAAUUCGAAGCAACGCGAAGAACCUUACCAGGUCUUGACAUCUUUUGAUCACCUGAGAGAUCAGGUUUCCCCUUCGGGGGCAAAAUGACAGGUGGUGCAUGGUUGUCGUCAGCUCGUGUCGUGAGAUGUUGGGUUAAGUCCCGCAACGAGCGCAACCCUUAUGACUAGUUGCCAGCAUUUAGUUGGGCACUCUAGUAAGACUGCCGGUGACAAGCCGGAGGAAGGUGGGGAUGACGUCAAAUCAUCAUGCCCCUUAUGACCUGGGCUACACACGUGCUACAAUGGAUGGUACAACGAGUUGCGAGACCGCGAGGUCAAGCUAAUCUCUUAAAGCCAUUCUCAGUUCGGACUGUAGGCUGCAACUCGCCUACACGAAGUCGGAAUCGCUAGUAAUCGCGGAUCAGCACGCCGCGGUGAAUACGUUCCCGGGCCUUGUACACACCGCCCGUCACACCAUGAGAGUUUGUAACACCCGAAGCCGGUGGCGUAACCCUUUUAGGGAGCGAGCCGUCUAAGGUGGGACAAAUGAUUAGGGUG
rnacentral:rRNA from 1 species